rnacentral:rRNA from 1 species
UACGUAGGGUGCAAGCGUUGUCCGGAAUUAUUGGGCGUAAAGAGCUCGUAGGCGGUCUGUCGCGUCGGCUGUGAAAACCCGGAGCUCAACUCCGGGCCUGCAGUCGAUACGGGCAGACUGGAGUUCGGCAGGGGAGACUGGAAUUCCUGGUGUAGCGGUGAAAUGCGUAGAUAUCAGGUGGAACACCGGUGGCGAAGGCGGGUCUCUGGGCCGAUACUGACGCUGAGGAGCGAAAGCGUGGGGAGCGAACAGG